GUCGUGAAAACCACCGCUAACUCAAACGCAAGAUGGGAAAGGAAAAGACUCACAUCAACAUCAUCAUCAUUGGACACGUAGAUUCCGGCAAGUCCACCACUACUGGCCAUCUGAUCUACAAACGUGGGGGCAUCGACAAGAGAAUCAUCGAGAAAUUUGAGAAGAAGGCUGCUGAGAUGGGGAGGGGCUCCUUCAAGUGUGCCUGGGUCUUGAAUAAACUGAAAGCUGAACGGGAGCGAGGUAUCACCAUUGAUAUCUCCUGUGGAAAUUCGAGACCAGCAAGUAUUAUGUGACCUUCAUUGAUGCCACAGGGCACAGAGACUUCAUCAAAAAAAUGAUUGCAGUUUCUGGGAAAAAGCUGGAAGAUGGCCCUAAGUUUUUGAAAUCUGGUGAUGCUGCCAUCGUUGAUAUGAUUCCUGGCAAGGCCAUGUGUGUUGAGAGCUUCUCUGACUACCUUCCUCUGGGCCGUUUUGCUGUUCGUGACAUGAGACAGACAGUUGCUGUGGGUGUCAUCAAAGCAGUGGACAAGAAGGCAGCUGGAGCUGGCAAAGUCACCAAGUCUGCCCAGAAAGCUCAGAAGGCUAAAUGAAUAUUAUUUCCAACACCUGCCACCCCAGUCUUAAUCAGUGGUGGAAGAACGGUCUCAGAACUGUUUGUCUCAAUUGGCCAUUUAAGUUUAAUAGUAAAAGACUGGUUAAUGAUUACAAUGCA